rnacentral:rRNA from 1 species
AGUGAACGCUGGCGGUAGGCCUAACACAUGCAAGUCGAACGGCAGCACAGUAAGAGCUUGCUCUUACGGGUGGCGAGUGGCGGACGGGUGAGGAAUACAUCGGAAUCUACUUUUUCGUGGGGGAUAACGUAGGGAAACUUACGCUAAUACCGCAUACGACCUACGGGUGAAAGCAGGGGAUCUUCGGACCUUGCGCGGUUGAAUGAGCCGAUGUCGGAUUAGCUAGUUGGCGGGGUAAAGGCCCACCAAGGCGACGAUCCGUAGCUGGUCUGAGAGGGUGAUCAGCCACACUGGGACUGAGACACGGUCCAGGCUCCUACGGGAGGCAGCGGUGGGGACUAUUGGACAAUGGGCGCAAGCCUGCUCCAGCCAUACCGCGUGGGUGAAGAAGGCCUUCGGGUUGUAAAGCCCUUUUGUUGGGAAAGAAAAGCAGCAGGUUAAUACCCCGCUGUUCUGACGGUACCCAAAGAAUAAGCACCGGCUAACUUCGUG